rnacentral:misc_RNA from 1 species
UGCCUUUUUGAAAUAGCUUCCUCUUUUUGGAGGUUUGGCUUUUGGGCCUUUGCUUGAAUUUGAAACCCCAGUUAAGGAAGUGGUUGGUGCUUGACUUCCUUCUUGUUCUUUUAGUUUGUAGUGGUUAUUGCUUCUUGUGAUUCUUGUUGUUGCAGUUCUUGGGUUAUUUGGCUGUUGAGGAUUGUGUUUGGUUAAGGAGUUCUAUCUCUAACUACCAGUUGGUAGACCUAAAACCCUCCCUUGAACUCCAUCUCAAACACCAUACAAUCUCUCUCUCUCUCUCUCUCUCUCU